rnacentral:rRNA from 1 species
UACGUAGGGUGCAAGCGUUGUCCGGACUCACUGGGCGUAAAGGGUGCGUAGGCGGUUUGUUGCGUCCGCGCUGAAAUCCCACCGCUUAACGGUGGGGCGCGUGCGGAUACGAGCAGACUCGAGGCAGGGAGAGGAUGGGGGAAUUCCAGGUGUAGCGGUGAAAUGCGUAGAUAUCUGGAGGAACAUCAGUGGCGAAGGCGACACCCUGGACUCAUACUGACACUGAGGUGCGAAAGCGUGGGGAGCAAACAGG